UUUGGUUAAGUUAGAAAGGGCGCACGGUGGAUGCCUUGACACUAGGAGUCGAUGAAGGACGGGACUAACGCCGAUAUGCUUCGGGGAGCUGUAAGUAAGCUUUGAUCCGAAGAUUUCCGAAUGGGGAAACCCACCAUACGUAAUGGUAUGGUAUCCUUAUCUGAAUACAUAGGGUAAGGAAGACAGACCCAGGGAACUGAAACAUCUAAGUACCUGGAGGAAGAGAAAGCAAAUGCGAUUUCCUGAGUAGCGGCGAGCGAAACGGAACAUAGCCCAAACCAAGAGGCUUGCCUCUUGGGGUUGUAGGACAUUCUAUACGGAGUUACAAAGGAACGAGGUAGACGAAGCGACCUGGAAAGGUCCGUCGUAGAGGGUAACAACCCCGUAGUCGAAACUUCGUUCUCUCUUGAAUGUAUCCUGAGUACGGCGGAACACGUGAAAUUCCGUCGGAAUCUGGGAGGACCAUCUCCCAAGGCUAAAUACUCCCUAGUGAUCGAUAGUGAACCAGUACCGUGAGGGAAAGGUGAAAAGCACCCCGGAAGGGGAGUGAAAGAGAUCCUGAAACCGUGUGCCUACAAAUAGUCAGAGCCCGUUAACGGGUGAUGGCGUGCCUUUUGUAGAAUGAACCGGCGAGUUACGAUCCCGUGCGAGGUUAAGCUGAAGAGGCGGAGCCGCAGCGAAAGCGAGUCUGAAUAGGGCGUUUAGUACGUGGUCGUAGACCCGAAACCAGGUGAUCUACCCAUGUCCAGGGUGAAGUUCAGGUAACACUGAAUGGAGGCCCGAACCCACGCACGUUGAAAAGUGCGGGGAUGAGGUGUGGGUAGCGGAGAAAUUCCAAUCGAACCUGGAGAUAGCUGGUUCUCCCCGAAAUAGCUUUAGGGCUAGCCUUAAGUGUAAGAGUCUUGGAGGUAGAGCACUGAUUGGACUAGGGGUCCUCAUCGGAUUACCGAAUUCAGUCAAACUCCGAAUGCCAAUGACUUAUCCUUAGGAGUCAGACUGCGAGUGAUAAGAUCCGUAGUCAAAAGGGAAACAGCCCAGACCGCCAGCUAAGGUCCCAAAGUGUGUAUUAAGUGGAAAAGGAUGUGGAGUUGCUUAGACAACUAGGAUGUUGGCUUAGAAGCAGCCACCAUUUAAAGAGUGCGUAAUAGCUCACUAGUCGAGUGACUCUGCGCCGAAAAUGUACCGGGGCUAAAUACACCACCGAAGCUGCGGAUUGAUACCAAUGGUAUCAGUGGUAGGGGAGCGUUCUAAGGACAGUGAAGUCAGACCGGAAGGACUGGUGGAGUGCUUAGAAGUGAGAAUGCCGGUAUGAGUAGCGAAAGACGGGUGAGAAUCCCGUCCACCGAAUGCCUAAGGUUUCCUGAGGAAGGCUCGUCCGCUCAGGGUUAGUCAGGACCUAAGCCGAGGCCGACAGGCGUAGGCGAUGGACAACAGGUUGAUAUUCCUGUACCACCUCUUUAUCGUUUGAGCAAUGGAGGGACGCAGAAGGAUAGAAGAAGCGUGCGAUUGGUUGUGCACGUCCAAGCAGUUAGGCUGAUAAGUAGGCAAAUCCGCUUAUCAUAAAGGCUGAGCUGUGAUGGGGAAGCUCCUUAUGGAGCGAAGUCUUUGAUUCCCCGCUGCCAAGAAAAGCUUCUAGCGAGAUAAAAGGUGCCUGUACCGCAAACCGACACAGGUAGGCGAGGAGAGAAUCCUAAGGUGUGCGAGAGAACUCUGGUUAAGGAACUCGGCAAAAUGACCCCGUAACUUCGGGAGAAGGGGUGCUUUCUUAACGGAAAGCCGCAGUGAAUAGGCCCAAGCGACUGUUUAGCAAAAACACAGCUCUCUGCGAAGCCGUAAGGCGAAGUAUAGGGGGUGACACCUGCCCGGUGCUGGAAGGUUAAGGAGAGGGGUUAGCGUAAGCGAAGCUCUGAACUGAAGCCCCAGUAAACGGCGGCCGUAACUAUAACGGUCCUAAGGUAGCGAAAUUCCUUGUCGGGUAAGUUCCGACCCGCACGAAAGGUGUAACGAUUUGGGCACUGUCUCAACCAGAGACUCGGUGAAAUUAUAGUACCUGUGAAGAUGCAGGUUACCCGCGACAGGACGGAAAGACCCCGUGGAGCUUUACUGUAGCCUGAUAUUGAAUUUUGGUACAGUUUGUACAGGAUAGGCGGGAGCCAUUGAAACCGGAGCGCUAGCUUCGGUGGAGGCGCUGGUGGGAUACCGCCCUGACUGUAUUGAAAUUCUAACCUACGGGUCUUAUCGACCCGGGAGACAGUGUCAGGUGGGCAGUUUGACUGGGGCGGUCGCCUCCUAAAGUGUAACGGAGGCGCCCAAAGGUUCCCUCAGAAUGGUUGGAAAUCAUUCGUAGAGUGCAAAGGCAUAAGGGAGCUUGACUGCGAGACCUACAAGUCGAGCAGGGACGAAAGUCGGGCUUAGUGAUCCGGUGGUUCCGCAUGGAAGGGCCAUCGCUCAACGGAUAAAAGCUACCCCGGGGAUAACAGGCUUAUCUCCCCCAAGAGUCCACAUCGACGGGGAGGUUUGGCACCUCGAUGUCGGCUCAUCGCAUCCUGGGGCUGUAGUCGGUCCCAAGGGUUGGGCUGUUCGCCCAUUAAAGCGGUACGCGAGCUGGGUUCAGAACGUCGUGAGACAGUUCGGUCCCUAUCCGUCGUGGGCGUAGGAAAUUUGAGAGGAGCUGUCCUUAGUACGAGAGGACCGGGAUGGACGCACCGCUGGUGUACCAGUUGUUCUGCCAAGGGCAUAGCUGGGUAGCUAUGUGCGGAAGGGAUAAGUGCUGAAAGCAUCUAAGCAUGAAGCCCCCCUCAAGAUGAGAUUUCCCAUAGCGUAAGCUAGUAAGAUCCCUGAAAGAUGAUCAGGUUGAUAGGUUCGAGGUGGAAGCAUGGUGACAUGUGGAGCUGACGAAUACUAAUAGAUCGAGGACUUAACCAUAUAA
rnacentral:rRNA from 4 species